CUCCGAGCCUCUGUGAUGUUCCUCCUUUCUCGCAUGGAUGGACACCACGUCGAGUGCAAGGACGAACCAGUAUAUCUCAGCCGUUCGCUUCACUCCUUGACCCUGAUUUUAUGGGAUUUGCUUGCAAGUUCGUACGGGGAAUGCCUUUUCUUGGUCCUUUGAAGAAAAUUUGAAUUUGGAUUGUGCUACGGGAUUCUCAAUUUUCCCCUAUUUUCUCUGUAUUUUCUCAUCUUUUUCCCCUUUUCUUUUGACCUAAUUCCACCCAUAUAUAUACGCCCUCUAGUCAUUGUUGGAGAGGGGUUUUUUCUUGAAUUUUUUUUAAAAGAAGAGAAUAUACUAAAGGUAUUACAUAGAGAUUUCUUUUUGAGAAGGGAUGAUUUGUUUGAGAUUUCUUAACUUGGAUUUUUUAGCUGGUUUUACUUUUUCGAGAGAGACACAAGCAAGGUCAUAGAAGAAAUAUUCGAAAGCACAUACGAACCCGUUUUGAGAGGGGAGGACACUAGUUUCGUUACUAGGUCCGAUUGUCCAACCAAAUCCUCUUAUUUGAUCUUGCUAGCAUUUCAAGUUUCUCUUUGUGGUGAAGUAUUCUCGUUUCUGCCCAGUAUCGCUGCACAUAAGCAGAGAGCCGUAAAGGCUCAAACUCUUUCCUUCAUUGAGUCAGACGACUACUAUCCAUUGAAAGGUCUAAAGAGUUGAGAAAUUUCGAGGUGGAAGAAUCAAGAAGUUGAUGACUUGGGCUAAAAAGCCCAAAUAUAUUUUUCCAAGUCUUGUAUUUUGUUUUACUGUGGCUUAAGCCCUUGUCGCCUUUUUUGUUUAUUCCUCAUUACUUUUUCUAGAACUUAGGACAGGUAAAAAAUUGAAAUGGGUCAAGAACCCAAAGCAAAAAAGGUCCAAAAAUUGGUCCAGGCGGACAAAACAGGAUUUGGACCCAAAUCUCUCUCUUUCCUCUUUA